rnacentral:miRNA from 1 species
GUGUCAACAACCAUCUUGGUUUGCCUGGGACUGAGGAAAGUCCAGGUAAACCAAGACAAGUU